GGCUGGAGGAAGGAAAAACAAGGACAUGCAAACAGAACAGAGAUGCCAUAGGGGGAGAACAGACUAGACCCCAAGGUCCGUGCCUUAUAUGGAAACGGGACAGCUCUUCCUGAAUUCCAUCCUUCUGAUGUGCCAACUAAGACCCGGAUGUCAGCCUCCUCCCUCUUGGAAGGAAAAAAGUUUCUAGUUGUCUAUUAUGUCACCUUUAGCCAAUCAUACCUCUCCACGCCCCCUAGGAUAGCUUGCCCACUCCUCCCCCUCCUAAUCCCUUAUAAGCCCCCACCUCCCUGACUGGGUGUGACUUCCCCGGCCUGUAGUACCCAGACAGUGGAACAUCACCUGGGAGUGGCAUUCAAAUAAACUACCUGGCCCUUUGUUGCCUCUCUUCGCCUGCUUAUUUCGGCUAAAAUUUAUCUUACAUUUGGUGCCGAAACCCGGGAAGGACGGUGAGUGCGGGGGCCCUGACUGGCCACCGGUGGCCCCGCGCCCUCCUUCCCCGACCCAGGACCUCAGCCUGCUCUCCGCUACAUGAACUAUUUUCCGAUCCACCAGAAAACCUCAGUUGCCCGCCUCCCUCAGCUCUCGAUGCCCCCCCCUCCACCACCAUCUUUAAGUCCUUUGUCUUCACACAUGUUGCCGCCAUCUUAAAGUCCAACAUUCUCAACCAUGCCAUCGUCCUGCUCUCCCCUUCUGGUGGCUGCACCACUCCUCCCCCUCUCCUUCCACCUUCACUGCCCUCUUCCCCCACCAGAACGCGCUCCUCCCGCCCUCCGGUUCCAGAAGCCAUGGACAAGAAGCUGAGGAGAAGGAAGGCAAUUGGAUAUCAGUGACUCAAGUCUUUAUAUUGGUUUGUCGGUCUGUGUAUAUGUUUUUGUGUGGAGGGUGUUGCUGACUAUAGUCAUUGUAUCUCAGUUUGUACGUUUGUGUGUCUAAGUGUAUAGAUGAAAAAUAUUUUAUUUAAAAACAAGUGCUUGUGAAAAUUGGGCAUUCUAAAACUUCCAGAAAAUCUGAUAAAAAUGUUAAGCAUUAAUGCUAAUUUGGGUUUGGCUGAGGUGGGCAUGUCCUUGUUGUUAUCAGCUGCCUAAGUUUACCUAAGGUCAUUUAAGUGGAUGAUGUUAUCUGCUAAAUCUUUUAAGAAUAAAAUGCUUAAAGGCUUGGCUUUGUCUAAUAUUCAGUAAAGGUUUUGUAAGUAAUCUAGCAUAGUUGCUAAAAAUAAGUAAACAAGCCUAGCAAAUAAAUAUCUUAAUAAUGAUACUGUAUUAAUGUAUAACAGUGUAUAUAUAUAUGCAAAUAGCCUGAGAAUUUUUGUAGUAACCAAAAUUCUUAAAGUUUGCUAAAUUAUAUAGACAUAUUUUGUGCCUAAUAAGAAAUUGUGCUAUAAAGCACAUUUCCAAAAAUAAUAAUAUAAUUCAUAGAUGUAUCAAUCUGAAGAAUGCUAGUGUAACAGUUUACAGUAGCCUAUUUUUCAGUGUUCACUGAAGGUUAAAGUAAUAAUUUUAAGUUCUAAUCAAAACUACUUAAAGAGGUAAGGAAAACAUUUCUGCAUGCUAAAAAAUAUGUCUUUUGAUAAAAGAAAGUUGUAAAAAGUUUGUAGAAGAAUUUAAUAUGGUCAUGCUAUAUAAAAUUAAAGCAAAUGAGUCUCAGUAUCAAGUACACAGCAAAAUUAGAAUUUUGUUUUCAGUUAAAAAGACAAAGUUUUCUUAACUGUUAGUCUGCUCUUAAUAUUGAAAGAUUGCAGAGAGUUCUUCUAAUUGUUUUAUCAAAGCAGUUUCUUAUGCUUAAAGUCUCAGUGAGUUGUCGGAGUCUUUAAGAAAAUGAGAUCUUAAAAUUAAAAGGACUAAAAGCUAAACUUUGCUAACAACUGUGUAACCUUCUUUAUUUGCCUUUGAAGUACUUUGUUGUCAUUCUAGUUAACUGGAUAAGUAUUGCUUCAUGGCAACCUAUAAUCCUAUUUAAGCAAGUGCCAAAGAAACUUUCUUCUGACAACUUCCCAAAAUCAAAUUCACAAAGGUACUUUUACCUCUAGUUAACUCUGAUAUUUUCCAGAGGGCCCGUGGAACAUGUCAGAAGAUCUUUUUCUUAUUGGAGAAAGUAUUUGGCUAAUUUAACUUAUUUAUCUGAUAUAUAAUUACCUGCUUAAUUACCUAGAAAGCACUGUCAGAAAGAAUAAUGCUAAACUUUGUUACUGAAUGUUUUGUGUUACAGAAAUAUCAGAAUUUCCUUAUGUCAACUGUCUUACAGUAAGCUCUCAUCAGAUCUUUAACCAUUGUCAUUUGUAAGUCUUUUAUUAUUUAUAGUCACUGUUUUAUUACUCUUAAGCUAGUAAAGAACUAGAUUUCAGCAGAACAAGUAUUAGUUACAUAAGAUUAAGUAAACUAAAGAAGAUGAUUUUGUAGCUUUUUGUUUCAAAUGUUGCUGAUAAAGUGUUUUAAGCUUUUUCUCUUAAGCUGACAACAGUUUAAUAAAUGACUGCCUUUAUAAGCAGAAUUGAAACUUUAUCUUUCUCUCUACCUGAUCCCUCCAAAAUUUAAAAACUCUCAGUAACUAUUUUUAUGUUUCAUGGCAGUUUGUUUAUUUGCACAAGUUCAAUAAGAAUCUGCUUUCCUUGUAAGAGGACCAAUUAAAAACACUGGUUAUAUUACCAAGGCUUUGACUCGAACAUCAUACCUGAGAGACACGUGUGUAAACUCAGAUAUGAAUAGACAGCUUUAAGGAACAGAUUGACUUUAUAAAGCCAACAAAGCCCCUUAGAAAAACCUACCUGGUACCUUGCUUACAGAGUUCCCAGCAGCCUUACCAGGUGAGUAAAGAAGGUCACAUCCUGGCAGGUGCAAAAACCUCAAGAAGAGAGGAGUUCACCCAAAUCUACAGGUACUGCAGGCACAACCUGAUGGCAAGUCUGGCUUAGCUUUCUGGCCUCCAGAAGCCCUUAAAAGUUCAAUCUGAAAUUCCUUACAAAAAGUUCCAGCAAAGCAUAUUUAAAAGAGCCUAUGUAAUCAAUUGCUCUUCUUGCUGCACUUAUGCAAAUAAUCAAGCCAACUGUUCAUUAUUUUCUUAAUCUGGCUACUUCUAAUAAAAAUAAGGGUGAUUUUAGACAAAAAUAUUGUUUCAAUAAUGCAGUCUUAUCUAUACUAAAUCCUAAUACUAGUCAUUGAGAUGUAAACUCGAUCCAGAAUUCCAGUUACCCCUAAUGGCUUGGCUAAUGCCCCUACUGGGCCCCUUAAUAACAGUUUGUUGUUUACUCUUAGUUGCCCCUUGUCUCCUCAGGUUCCUCCAACAGCAGCUAACCCAGAUGACCUGGGUCACCACCAACCAGAUGUUACUUCACUGUUACGCACCUCUUCCCACUAAAACUCCUCCUUCAGCCUAAUACCAGCUUCAAACCCCCACGACACCCCUUGUCAGCUGGAAGUAGCCAGAUCGAGUCAUCGCCCAUUAUGAUCAAAAGGCUGGAAUGUUAGGCUGGAGGAAGGAAAAACAAGGACAUGCAAAUAGAACAGAGAUGCCAUAGGGGAGAACAGACCUGACCCCAAGGUCCAUGCCUUAUAUGGAAAGGGGACAGCUCUUCCUGAAUUCUAUCUUUCUGAUGUGCCAACUAAGACCCUGAUGUCAGCCUCCUCCCUCUUGGAAGGAAAAAAGUUUCUAGUUGUCUAUUAUGUCACCUUUAGCCAAUCAUACCUCUCCACGCCCCCUAGGAUAGCUUGCCCACUCCUCCCCCUCCUAAUCCCUUAUAAGCCCCCACCUCCCUGACUGGGUGUGACUUCCCUGGCCUGUAGUACCCAGACAGUGGAACAUCACCUGGGAGUGGCAUUCAAAUAAACUACCUGGCCCUU